UAUUAUCUCUUCAUAUCUAAUCUAAAAAAAAAAAACAUGGUUUAUUUUUCUUCUCCUUCUUCACUUGGGAUGAGUCUUGUCUUUGUAUUUAUGUUACUACUCAUACCUUCAAUAAAUCAUGUUGUUGAAGCUUGGCAUCCUACCGAACAUAUGACUAAUUAUGGAGGAGGAUAUUCCGGUGCCGGUGAGCACCAUAGAAGGUAUUUGGUGGACUGAAGUGGGCAAGACUAUGUUGGCCGGCCACCGAUCCAAGGCUUUUAUUCCGGUGAUCCUACUUUUGGUGAACCAAAUAUGAGAGUCAUGAACAUGCAAGGUGGAGACUCUUGUAAUGGAGGUUAUAUCCAAGAUCAUCCAAUGUCAGCUAUAAGAAGCCCUUUAUCAACUAGGGUUACAACAAAGACACAAGAGACAAUCACAACUCAGGUUAUUAUGGUUGAUACUGGAGUUAUGAUAACAACUAGCCGAGUUAAGACUGUGACUAUCAACGCUGCUCUUCAUGAUCACUAAACUUAAUUACAACGAUGCUUUCACAAAACUUAAUUAUAUAUAUUUUGAAUAAUACUUAAAGUCUAUAUCUUUUGAAUAAAUUGCGGGAUGAUAUUAAGUAUUAGAAUAUCAUUUCUAUUGCA